rnacentral:tRNA from 1 species
GGGGUUGUGGCUCAGUGGUAGAGCACUCACCUAGCAUGUGUGAGGCACUGGGUUCAAUACUCAACACCA